rnacentral:rRNA from 3 species
GAUCCCUCAAAGACGAUGAGGUAGAUAGGUUCGAGGUGGAAGUGUGGUGACACAUGGAGCUGACGAAUACUAAUCGAUCGAGGACUUAACCA